CUUCAUGUUGGAGAGACACAGACUGAUGGACAAUACUUCUUCUUCUCAUCUGUCUGUGUUGACUGAUAGAGUUGCUCUGCAGUUUUCGCCCUGCAUCUUCCCAGUCAACCUACAUUCCUCUGUCACACAUAAGAAGAACAAGUUACACCAAGGCAUCCUGAAGCUGAUAAUCUCACCACCACCAUGUUUGAUGUUGAAACAUUAUUGCAAGAGAUGCUGGAGGAGGAGGCGGCAGGACAUGGUGGAGGACGACAGUUGGUGAGUAAGUAGUUAGUUAGUAAGUUGUAAGUAAGUAGGUAGGUAUAUAGCUGGUUGGUAGCUGGCGGUAGGUGGUUGGUAAGUCAUUGGUAGUUCAGUGUUUGGUUGGUAGUUGGCAGGUAGUUGAUAAGUAGUUGGUUUGUAAGUUGUUGAUUGUUUGUUGAUAAGUCAUUGGUAGCUUAGUGGUUGGUAGGUAGUUAAGUAGUUGCUUUGUAAGUCAUUGGUAGUUUGUUGGUAAAUCGUUGGUAGUUUGUUGGAAGUUGAUAUGUAGUUGGUUUGUAGUUAAGUGGUAGGUAGGUUGUUGGCUGAUAA